UACAGAGGGUGCGAGCGUUGUCCGGAAUCACUGGGCGUAAAGGGCGCGUAGGUGGCUUGGUAAGCGUGUGGUGAAAGUCCGGGGCUCAACCCCGGAUCUGCCGUGCGAACUGCUGAGCUCGAGCAAUGUAGAGGCAGGUGGAACUUCGGGUGUAGCGGUGGAAUGCGUAGAUAUCCGAAAGAACACCAGUGGCGAAGGCGGCCUGCUGGGCAUUAGCUGACACUGAGGCGCGACAGCGUGGGGAGCAAACAGGAUUAGAACCGUACGGUC
rnacentral:rRNA from 1 species